GCCGGAAGAAGGUUAAUACACUUUAUUUUGAAAAGUUCCAGAAGAGUUUGUACUGGAGUUUUAAUGUUGAAAUUCAUAGCUGGGUCCCAACACUAGCUAGCUGACAGCUGUUAUUCAUAUCAGUCCAGCUUCAUUUGAAUUUUUUGCUAGCUACCUGACGUUAUCUAGCUCCUGACUAGCUUGUGGAGAAGGUUUUUAAAUCCGUGUUUGGUGACCGUGUUAGCACCAUGUCUAUGGCAAUGUAGUGCGUUAUGGCUGUCGUUAUCUCCCGGUGUCUUUUACUGCUCUUGUCAUAUGGAGUUACACUGGCAAAGGAUGCCAUAAUUGUAGACUGUUUGCUACUGUGGGCCUGAGCAUCGAUUUCACCUGACUAUUUGUCAUGCAAUAGUUGACAGAGCAAAUCCUGGGUCAGUCUGGAGAGCAGUCCAAAAAAAAUAAAAAAUAAAAAAUGCAGCUUUGGCGAUCACGUGAUCGUGUUGUCUGAAAUCACAAUUUCUAUCAGAAAAUGAUAAAUCGUUCAGCCCUACUAGCUAGCAGAAGUUUGCAGCAAACGUUAGUUAGCCAGUGAUGCCAAAACCUCAGCGGGAAAAUUGCUAUCAAGAUUAAUGUUGCACGACUAACAAAAGUAAAAAAAAAAAAAAAUUAUAAUGAGCACUGUACUUGCCUGCCAACUUCAAAAUGUGUGCAGGUUCAACCAGCCACCCAUUCCUAGGCCUCUAGCCACCGAUGCUGUGGCACUUAAUAAGAUACUCCUUUUUAGAGUUUUCGGGAUCAAAGUCCACAAUCCAAUUUACGUGGAUAAUACUGAGAGCUUUUUUAUUCUUUCCCUUUGACCAGCUCACUAGUGCACACUUCAUUAUAUUAUUUUCUCCCCUCAGCACUGAGGCGCACAGAGUAAUGGCAGCACCCGGUGGCUUGUCGUUCGCGCCUAUUCUACCCAUAAAACCUUUGCAGUUCAAUGUAUCCACGGUAAGAAGUAGCUCGACCAAUCAGAGACGUUGUUUUACACUAUAGGAUUCUGGGUUUUUUAAUUUCUGUUAAUUAAUUUAAUAUAACGUUUUAGCUUCUGUGCCACUGCUUUACAACACACUCGCUUUACAAAACACAAAGAACAUUUAUGGGAUAUUUACCUCUGGCAACCGAGUGGGCUGUCAAGCUGUCGAGAGUUCCGUCGUUCCAGAAGAAGAGAGGUAUGGACAGAAGGAGAAGAAAAUACACUGACCCCGGUUCAGAAUAUGAUAUUCCAACAAGAACAAGGAGAUUCUGGAAAAGGAGGAAACUGACUGAGGCCAUCAACUUGCAUUAGUCAAACCAGGAUAGUGAAUCUGGAUCAGGAUUCCUCUGACCACAACACUGACAGUGGCUCAGAAGACACACCUGAUGGUGGUGGGAUGACAGUAGAGCCUGCAUGCAGACCCUGAAUCCGAUGAACUACCUCCACAUUUGACCCAAACAACAGAGUUAUUAGUCUUCAGCUUAGAGGGCAGUGUUGAUUUUGGUGUCUUUCAACCACCAUGGCAGUCUUAUACUGACUCUGAAUCCUUUGGCAGUGGAGAAGAAUUUUCCAUGGAAGACAGCACUGACAAGUCAGUAAAUGAAGAAUCACAUUUCAGAGUAGGUGUUAAUGAAAGGGUUCCUCCAGUAAAUGAUGAACCACUUUACACAGGCUCACAACUAACCAACGCUCAGAGUUUUUUAUUUAUACUGUCAUAUGCUUUGAGACACUCGCUUACUGGUGUAGCUCUGUCUGAUCUUUUAGAUGUGAUUAAUAUCCACUGCUCAGAAAAUGUUCUAACUUCAAAGCAUCUGUUCUUAAAAGAGCUUAAAUCAAUACAAGGUCAGCUAGAAUGUCACAUAUACUGUCCCAACUGUGAAUAUUACAUCGGCAACCAAGUCACCGAGGGGCAGUGUUGUGUGUAACUCUACAUGGGAUAGAAACAGCUCACUGAAAAAUGGAAAUUUCUUCCUAUACUUACCCAUCCAAACACAAUUGGAACAUCUUCUUCAAAGAGAAGAUAUUGCAUGUUGGGUCAAGUCAGUAAACAGCAGUAAUGUAAUUCGGAAAAUUGUGAUGACAUAUGUUGUGGUAAAAUGUAUCUUAAUUUGAAAAAAGAUGGAGGCCCACUGGAUAAUCCUCAUGCGUUCUCCUUAACUUUGAAUUGUGAUGGAGUUCCAGUAUUCAAAUCAUCCUAGUAUGCAAUUUGGCCAUUACAAGGGAUGGUAAACGAGCUUCCUUAUCAUGUCCGUAAAGAGAAUGUUUUACUUUUUGGCCUAUGGUUUGGUAUUAAGAAGCCAAAUGUUAAUACAUUUUUAAAACCAUUCACACAAGAGUGUCAGUCAUUGUCAACUGUUGGCUUCAAGUUACACAGAAACAACACAGUGAAUUAUUGUAAAGUUAUAGCAGCUGUUAUGAUGCGUGAUUCAAUUGCCAGUCCCAUUCUGCAAAACAUGACCCAAUUUAAUGCUCAUUAUGGGUGCAGCUUCUACCUACAUCCUGGUGAACAAGUUCCAAAGGGAAAUGGAACUGUUGGGGUUUAUCCAUACGAAGACGUUCCAAAAAGGGAUCAUGCUUCAACCCUAACUGAUCCAAGGGAGGCUAUACAUACCACACAAUCUGUGAGAGGAAUUAAAGGGCCCACAUGUCUUAUCAACAUCCCACACUUUGACAUCAUGUCUGGAAUGCCUCCUGAUCAUAUGCAUAAUGUACAUCUUGGAGUUGUUCAGCACAUGACAAGCAUGUGGCUGGAUAGUGAACACCAUGAGGAGCCAUACUAUAUCGGUAAUCGUAUUCCUGAGCUCGACCAGCAACUCUUUAGAAUUAAGCCACUUUGCAAUAUCACAAGCGUGCCCUGCUCUUUUAAGCAAAUAAAGUUUUGGAAAACCAGUUCAGUCAUACAUUUAGAAAAUGUAGUUGGCUGAAAAGAGUGUUAGAGGGCAGGAAGCAGGUUUUUGAUGGGAUGACAUUCAACAGGAAAUGUA